rnacentral:misc_RNA from 1 species
AGCAGCCGCGGUAAUUCCAGCUCCAAUAGCGUAUAUUAAAGUUGUUGCAGUUAAAAAGCUCGUAGUUGAAUUUCGGGAUUGGCGCAUCGGUCGUGCCUCACGGGGUAUGAACUGGUGCAGUCAAUUUCUCACCUUCUGGAGAACCGCGAUGUCCUUAAUUGGAUGCCGCGGGGAACCAGGACCUUUACUUUGAAAAAUUAGAGUGUUUAAAGCAGGCAUUUUUGCUUGAAUACAUUAGCAUGGAAUAAUAAAAUAGGACGGCAUGGUUCUAUUUUGUUGGUUUCUAGGACCACCGUAAUGAUUAAUAGGGAUAGUUGGGGGCAUUAGUAUUCAAUUGUCAGAGGUGAAAUUCUUGGAUUUAUUGAAGACUAACUAUUGCGAAAGCAUUUGCCAAGGAUGUUUUCAUUAAUCAAGAACGAAAGUUAGGGGAUCGAAGACGAUCAGAUACCGUCGUAGUCUUAACCAUAAACUAUGCCGACUAGGAAUCAGACGAUGUUAAUUUUUUGAUUGACUCGUUUGG